AUAGAACAUUAUGCCUGGAAUGGUUUAUGUUCCAAAUGAUUGAUCGCCGUAGGAUGGGACUGCGGCCUAUCAGUUUGUUGGUGAGGUAAUGGCCCACCAAGACUAUUACAGGUACGGGCUCUGAGAGGAGUAGCCCGGAGAUGGGUACUGAGACACGGACCCAGGCCCUAUGGGGCGCAGCAGGCGAGAAAACUUUGCAAUGUGCGAAAGCACGACAAGGUUAAUCCGAGUGGUUUCUGCUAAAGGAACCUUUUGUCAGUCCUAGAAACACUGAUGAAUAAGGGGUGGGCAAGUUCUGGUGUCAGCCGCCGCGGUAAAACCAGCACCUCAAGUGGUCAGGAUGAUUAUUGGGCCUAAAGCAUCCGUAGCCGGCUCUGUAAGUUUUCGGUUAAAUCUGUACGCUCAACGUACAGGCUGCCGGGAAUACUGCAAAGCUAGGGAGUGGGAGAGGUAGACGGUACUCGGUAGGAAGGGGUAAAAUCCUUUGAUCUAUUGAUGACCACCUGUGGCGAAGGCGGUCUACCAGAACACGUCCGACGGUGAGGGAUGAAAGCUGGGGGAGCAAACCGGAUUAGAUACCCGGGUAGUCCCAGCUGUAAACCAUGCAAACUCAGUGAUGCAUUGGCUUGUGGCCAAUGCAGUGCUGCAGGGAAGCCGUUAAGUUUGCCGCCUGGGAAGUACGUACGCAAGUAUGAAACUCAAAUGAUUGACGG
rnacentral:rRNA from 1 species